AAACCAACAGGGAUUGCCCUAGUAACGGCGAGUGAAGCGGCAACAGCUCGAAUUUGAAAUCUGGCUUCGGCCCGAGUUGUAAUCUGUAGAGGACGCUUUUGGCGCGGUGCCUUCCGAGUUCCCUGGAACGGGACGCCAUAGAGGGUGAGAGCCCCGUAAGGUCGGACACCAAGCCUCUGUAAAGCUCCUUCGACGAGUCGAGUAGCUUGGGAAUGCUGCUCUAAGCGGGAGGUAAACUUCUUCUAAAGCUAAAUACUGGCCAGAGACCGAUAGCGCACAAGUAGAGUGAUCGAAAGAUGAAAAGCACUUUGAAAAGAGGGUCAAAUAGUACGUGAAAUUGUUGAAAGGGAAGCGCUCAUGACCAGACUUGCGCCUGGCGGAUCAUCCGGCUGUCUCAGCCGGUGCACUCCGCCUGGCGCAGGCCAGCGUCGGCUGUUGCGGGGGGACAAAAGCACUGGGAACGUAGCUCUCCUCGGAGAGUGUUAUAGCCCUAUGCAGAAUACCCCCGCGGCGGCCGAGGUCCGCGCUCUGCAAGGACGCUGGCGUAAUGGUCAUCAGCGAC
rnacentral:rRNA from 1 species